GCUCCGGGGCGGGUGUGCGGGGCCCGCCUGUGUGCUCGCCUCUGCUCCGGGCAGCUUUAUGAACCGGCUGCCUUUCUCUCUGCCUCCAUUUUCGUUUCCUUAAAUGAGUUGUGAUCAUAUUAGCAGACUGAGGAGCCAUCGGGAUUCAGACUUAACAAAACCAGUUGGAAAUGUAAACCAGAAACAUCCACGGAAGCGUGUGGGGAUGGACUGUGGAAGAUUUCACGGUCAGUGUGAGCUGGUAGUUAAAGCUCGGGCUUUGGAAUCACACCCACCCAAGUUACAGUGCUGACUCUGACUCUGGGGAAUCCUGCAUUUUAUCUGGCAACCCUACAUUCUCUGGAAAGGAAAAAAUCCAGGAGAUGCCUUACAAGGUUGCUUCCAUGACCUGGCUAUUUCUACAAAGAAUGUUUUUACUGAUGGGACUAUGUUCAGCCUCCCAGGGACAAGCAGGACCAGAGGUGAGAUUGUGGAUUCAGUGGCUCUGAAGCAGUGGAAGGAGUGACACAGGCCUCUGUGCAAGGUGGUUUGCCGUGUGCAAUCCUGAUUUUGGACCAAAAUCCCACCUAUGUGAGAGUUCAGCACUCUUCUAUCUACCUGUCCUGAAGAACUAUCUAAUAUUUCCAAGGUAUUUUAAUUCAUCACAAAUCCUCUACACUGGCCACAUGCUGGUCAUGAGGAGAAUUUCUUUGACUUUGAGUGCCCAGGAUUGAGCUAUGAUAAAGUGAUAUUCAUAAAAGCACACUUCUGUGUUCAUGUGUAAACUUUUAUAUACUGUCUUCUAUGCUUACUCUGACUAAGACCUGUGUAAUAGUAAUAUCAGACGAUUGUAAUACCUCUGAAGAAAUGGAGACAGCAUCCCUAAAAAUUGAGUUUGAUCAUACAAUAUGUUGUGGUUCAGUGUCCCAUGACGGCUGUAGUUAGAACUCCAAGUUUUGCUCUAUUAUGCAGACAGUAAAAGACAUCUGGCUUAUGUGGGAACAGGAGGAGGGGAGAAGAAGGGAGAAAAGAGAAAAAAGGGAGAGAGAUAGUACACAACAAAAAGAGACAAAGAGACAUAGAGAAAAGGAUGCCCAAUGCCUAAUUUCUCAUCAGGUAUAAUGAACUUUUCUUUAACAAUUAAGAUUUUAGUCUUUUUAGACUUGGAAAAUCUUUGAAAAAAAUCAAAUCAUCUUAGGAGCACAAGUAGAAGCACCAUGGAAUUCAAAUGGCCAAGCCAGAGUGGUUUUUUUUUUUUUAAUUUAUUUUAUUUAUUUAUUUUUGGCUGUGUUGGGUCUUCGUUGUUGCACACGGGCUUUCUCUAGU